UACGAAGGGAGCUAGCGUUGUUCGGAAUCACUGGGCGUAAAGCGCACGUAGGCGGAUGUGUCAGUCACGGGUGAAAUCCCGGAGCUCAACUUCGGAACUGCCUCUGAUACAGCACGUCUUGAGUCCGGAAGAGGUGGGUGGAAUUCCUAGUGUAGAGGUGAAAUUCGUAGAUAUUAGGAAGAACACCGGUGGCGAAGGCGGCCCACUGGUCCGGUACUGACGCUGAGGUGCGAAAGCGUGGGGAGCAAACAGG
rnacentral:rRNA from 1 species